GACGUAGGGCGCGAGCGUUGUCCGGAGUUAUUGGGCGUAAAGAGCUCGUAGGCGGCUCGUUGCGUCAACCGUGAAAACCCGGGGCUUAACUUCGGGCUUGCGGUUGAUACGGGCGGGCUGGAGUUCGGUAGGGGAGACUGGAAUUCCUGGUGUAGCGGUGAAAUGCGCAGAUAUCAGGAGGAACACCGGUGGCGAAGGCGGGUCUCUGGGCCGAUACUGACGCUGAGGAGCGAAAGCGUGGGGAGCGAACAGG
rnacentral:rRNA from 1 species